ensembl:lncRNA
GCCCCGACCCCCCUCUGUGGCUCUUUGCAUUGAAGUGAGUGGUUGAGGGCACUGAAAAUCCCACACCCCACAUCCCGCACCCCACAUCCCGCACCCCACAUCCCACACCCCACAUCCCACACCCCACAUCCCAUACCCCACAACCCAUACCCCACAACCCACACCCCACAUCCCAUACCAAAUGUCCCACACCCCACAUCCCACACCCCACAUCCCACACCCUACAUCCCACACCCCACAUCCCAUACCCCACAACCCACACCCCACAUCCCGUACCAAACAUCCUGCACCCCACACCCCACAUCCCGCACCCCACAUCCCAUAUCCUCCACCCCACAGCCAAAACUGUGGGACAGAACCAGGGGGGUUCCAUCCGCUGCAAAACAGGUCCUAAAUGGGUGCAGGCCCCAAAUGGAUGCAGGUUCUGAAUGGGGACGAGUCCCACAUGGGUGCGGGUCCCAGAUGAAUGCUCACCCCAAAUGGGCGCGGGUCCCAAAUGGAUUCAGGUCCCAAAUGGGUUCAGGUCCAAAAUGAGUUCAAAUCCUACAUGGGUACACAUUCCAGACAGGUGUGGAUCCCAAAUGGGUGUAGGUCCCACGAGGGUUCAUAUCCCAAAUGGGUGCCCAUCCCAAAUAGGUGCGGAUCCCAAAUGGAUGCGGGUCCCAAAUAGGUGCGGAUCUGAAAUGGAUGUGGAUCCCAAACGGAUGUGGGUUCUAAAUAGGUGUGGAUCCCAAUGGGUCCCAAAUGGGUGCCCAUCCCAAACAGGUGUGGAUCCCAAUGGGUGCAGGCCCCAAAUGGGUGCCCAUCCCAAAUAGGUAUGGAUCCCAAUGGAUGCAGGCCCCAAAUGGGUGCCCAUCCCAAAUAGGUGUGGAUCCCAAUGGGUGCAGGUCCCAAAUGGGUGCUCAUCCCAAAUAGGUGUGGAUCCCAAUGGGUGCACUGUGGGAACCGUCCUCUGCGGCGCUGUGUCCGAAGAGCGGCAGUCCUGGCAGCCGGAAUGGGGACAUCGGCACCGUAGGAGCGAUCCGACCCCAUAGUGCUGAUGCUUGGACAGCAGCAGCCCCAUAGGUGUGGGGCCGAGGAGGUCACUGUCUGCCCCGGGUGCAUCAAUCUCUCCAUCCUAAACUGCAGAGCGAAUGGUUUGGGUUUGUUGCAUCGGCUCUUUGGGUUCUGCACCACUGCAGUGCAGUGGGGCGGUCUGCUGCAUUGGUCCUUUGGGUUUUGCACCAUUGCAGUGCAGUGGGGUGUGUUUGCUGCAUGCAGUGUGUCUGUAGGACACGUUGUGGGUCAGACCUUUGGGUUUUGCACCGUUGCAAAGCCAAUGGAGUGUGUUUGCUGCACCCGGUGUGCCUGUGGGAUAUAUGUGGGUCCGCUCUUCGGGUACUGCACCAUUGCAAAGGCAAUGGGGUGGGUUUGUUGCAUUGGCCUUUGAUAUUCUGCAGCACUGCAACGUCAGUGGGGUGUGUUUGCUGCACCCAGUGUGGCUGUAGGACACCUGUGGGUCGUUCCUUUGGGUGUUGCACCAUUGCAAAGGCAAUGCGGUGGGUUUGUUGCACCUGGUGCAGCUGUAGGACACGUUGUGGGUCAGCCCUCUGUAUUUUGCACCAUUGCAAAGGCACUGGGGUGGGUUUGUUGCACCCGGUGUGGCUGUGGGAUAUAUGUGGGUCAACUCUUCAGGUAUUGCACCAUUGCAAAGGCAAUGGGGUGGGUUUGUGGCAUCGACCCUUUGGGUUUUGCACCAUUGCAGUGCCAGUGGAGUGUGUUUGCUGCACCCGGUGC